UUUAAUUUUCAAAUGUAACUUGGUUUCAUAUAUUUCGUAUGAAGAAUGCAGUUUGUCUGAUAGAUUUUUUUUUUGAUUACUUCCGUUUCGGAUUAAUUCAGUGUUUUCCACGUACUUGUUGUCAUAAAGUGAUUUUCGUCCCUCCUUAUGAUGGAAGUACAGCAGAUCACUCAAACCAUGCUGGGACAUGAAUUCACAUUUCAACAACUUGGGAAAUUGUCAACAUUCUAUGUUGAAAAAAGAGUAGAAGAUACUAAUAAUAAUGAUUUUUUUAUGCAAUAUUCGUUUAAUGAUGGCAGUACAACAGAUCACUGAAGGCAUGCUGAGAAAUGAAUUUGCAUUCAUACCACUUUGGGAAUGUAUCAACUUCCUAUGAUGAAAAUGAACUAGAAUAUACAGAUAAUAUUAAUGGACUUAUGCAUUAAGAAUUAAUCAUUAAGUCGAUAUUAACACCAACAGAGGGCGGGAGGUUCCCCAUACC